rnacentral:misc_RNA from 1 species
GAUGAAGAACGUAGCGAAAUGCGAUACUUGGUGUGAAUUGCAGAAUCCCGUGAACCAUCGAGUCUUUGAACGCAAGUUGCGCCCGAAGCCAUUAGGCCGAGGGCACGCCUGCCUGGGUGUCACACACCGUUACCCUCGCGCCAACGUCCAUCGUUGGCCGCGGCGCGGGGCGUGCGCUGACCUCCCGCGAGCGGGGUCUCGUGGUUGGUUGAAAAUCGAGUUCGCGGUCGAGGGUGCCGUGAUGAAAUGGUGGAUGGGCGACGCCCGAGGCCAAUCACGCGCGACUCUGUCCGGCUCNNNNUCCUGGACCCCUUCGGCGUCUCCGGACGCUCUUUGGCGAGACCUCAGGUCAGGCGGGGCUACCCGCUGAGUUUAAGCAUAUCAAUAAGCGGAGGA